AUUGAACGCUGGCGGCAGGCCUAACACAUGCCAGUCGAGCGGAUGAAGGGAGCUUGCUCCUGGAUUCAGCGGCGGACGGGUGAGUAAUGCCUAGGAAUCUGCCUGGUAGUGGGGGAUAACGUCCGGAAACGGGCGCUAAUACCGCAUACGUCCUGAGGGAGAAAGUGGGGGAUCUUCGGACCUCACGCUAUCAGAUGAGCCUAGGUCGGAUUAGCUAGUUGGUGGGGUAAAGGCCUACCAAGGCGACGAUCCGUAACUGGUCUGAGAGGAUGAUCAGUCACACUGGAACUGAGACACGUUCCAGACUCCUACGGGAGGCAGCAGUGGGGAAUAUUGGACAAUGGGCGAAAGCCUGAUCCAGCCGUGCCGCGUGUGUGAAGAAGGUCUUCGGAUUGUAAAGCACUUUAAGUUGGGAGGAAGGGCAGUAAGUUAAUACCUUGCUGUUUUGACGUUACCAACAGAAUAAGCACCGGCUAACUUCGUG
rnacentral:rRNA from 1 species